rnacentral:rRNA from 1 species
CCUACGGGUGGCUGCAGUGGGGAAUAUUGGACAAUGGGGGGAACCCUGAUCCAGCCAUGCCGCGUGUGUGAAGAAGGCCCUCGGGUUGUAAAGCACUUUCAGUGAGGAAGAACGCCUGGUGGUUAAUACCCAUCAGGAAAGACAUCACUCACAGAAGAAGCACCGGCUAACUCCGUGCCAGCAGCCGCGGUAAUACGGAGGGUGCGAGCGUUAAUCGGAAUUACUGGGCGUAAAGCGCGCGUAGGUGGCUUGAUAAGCCGGUUGUGAAAGCCCCGGGCUCAACCUGGGAACGGCAUCCGGAACUGUCAAGCUAGAGUGCAGGAGAGGAAGGUAGAAUUCCCGGUGUAGCGGUGAAAUGCGUAGAGAUCGGGAGGAAUACCAGUGGCGAAGGCGGCCUUCUGGACUGACACUGACACUGAGGUGCGAAAGCGUGGGUAGCAAACAGGAUUAGAACCCUUGUAGUC